rnacentral:rRNA from 1 species
GACGAACGCUGGCGGCGUGCCUAAUACAUGCAAGUCGAACGCAGUGGGGACGGGUGAGUAACACGUGGGUAACCUGCCCAUCAGAGGGGAUAACACUUGGAAACAGGUGCUAAACCGAUACUGAUGGAUGGAACCGACGUGCAUUAGCUAGUUGGUGAGGUAACGGCUCACCAAGGCCACGAUGAAUAGCCGACCUGAUGGGGGAAUCGGCCACUCGGGGCCGGAUAAAGGGCCCGGACUCCUACGGGAGGCAGCAGUAGGGAAUCUUCGGCAAUGGACGAAGGUCUGAGCGAGCAACGCCGCGUGGGUGAAGAAGGUUUCCGGAUCGUAAGACUCUGUUGUUAGGGAAGCGGUAUCUAACCAGAAAGCCACGGCUAACUACGUGCCAGCAGCCGCGGUAAUUC